UGGGGAAUAUUGGACAAUGGGCGCAAGCCUGAUCCAGCCAUGCCGCGUGAGUGAUGAAGGCCUUAGGGUUGUAAAGCUCUUUUGUCCGGGACGAUAAUGACGGUACCGGAAGAAUAAGCCCCGGCUAACUUCGUGCCAGCAGCCGCGGUAAUACGAAGGGGGCUAGCGUUGCUCGGAAUCACUGGGCGUAAAGGGCGCGUAGGCGGUCUUUUAAGUCAGGGGUGAAAGCCUGUGGCUCAACCACAGAAUUGCCUUCGAUACUGGGAGACUUGAGUUCGGUAGAGGUUGGUGGAACUGCGAGUGUAGAGGUGAAAUUCGUAGAUAUUCGCAAGAACACCGGUGGCGAAGGCGGCCAACUGGACCGACACUGACGCUGAGGCGCGAAAGCGUGGGGAGCAAACAG
rnacentral:rRNA from 1 species